CUACUACUCCCUCUGUCCGAAAAUAUUUGUCAUCAAAAAGAAUAAAAAGGGAUGUAUCUAGAUGUAUUUUAGCUCUAGAUGCAUCCCUUUUCAUCCAUUUUGAUGACAAGUAUUUUCGGACGGAGGGAGUACCUG
rnacentral:pre_miRNA from 1 species